GACGAACGCUGGCGGCGUGCUUAACACAUGCAAGUCGAACGGAAAGGCUCCAGCUUGCUGGAGUACUCGAGUGGCGAACGGGUGAGUAACACGUGGGUAAUCUGCCCUGCACUCUGGGAUAAGCCUGGGAAACUGGGUCUAAUACUGGAUAUGACCUUUCUCCUUAUGGGGUUUGGUGGAAAGUUUUUCGGUGUAGGAUGAGCCCGCGGCCUAUCAGCUUGUUGGUGGGGUGAUGGCCUACCAAGGCGACGACGGGUAGCCGGCCUGAGAGGGUGAUCGGCCACAUUGGGACUGAGAUACGGCCCAGACUCCUACGGGAGGCAGCAGUGGGGAAUAUUGCACAAUGGGCGGAAGCCUGAUGCAGCGACGCCGCGUGAGGGAUGACGGCCUUCGGGUUGUAAACCUCUUUCAGCAGGGACGAAGCGUAAGUGACGGUACCUGCAGAAGAAGCACCGGCUAACUAUGUGC
rnacentral:rRNA from 1 species